GCUACAGCUUCUCACUGGCUGGGUUGUUGCUGGGCAGGGAGAGAAAUCCUCCUACUGGGGAGCAAAGUCUAAACACCUUCCUGUGGGAGGUGCAAGUCAGUCUCUUCCAGGUCAGUGUAAUUGACGAUGUGUGAUGGGGGUGAGAGCUCCCCUACAGGCCUUCCAGACUCCAGUUUAGGAUAAGCCCAGGUCACAGGAUUAAGGGUCACGGCGGAUGGCCUGGCACGCACUGGGCCCGCAGCACACAGCCUCCGGUCUCCCUUGGGCGUCCUGGAGUGAGCGUCUAGCACAGGCCCGAGAGCCCGUCCCUUUCUCUGCUGGACGAGCUCGGCAGCUGGAGCGGAGGGUAGGAUGGGAACCAGAAGCCUUCACCAGCACUCCCCCUAGGUGAGCUCGCCCGGAGUGACAGGGAUUGUGGUCACUGUCCUGACUGUGCUGCAGGCCCCAGGACCUGUGGGUGUUUUCCCUGGUGGUGGCAGGUGGCAGAAAGGCCCUUGGUAUUACAAGGGGCCCAUGACGGUGAGAACCCAGAAGGACACAGCUGAGAGCAGGAGCUGAUGCCGCGGGACCCAUUCUUCCAGAAGCUACUGGAGGCCAGGGCACCGUGGGGCAGUGUAGGUGGCUGUUGGUAAGGUGGCGGUGCUGCCAGUCCACGGACCCCCUGUGUCUGCCCUGGCUGCCCAAGCGGCUUUUGGUGGGCUCCUUAGGGCUGGGGGCUGUGCGGACUCAGACCCUGCUCCCAGGUAGAGGAGGAACCAGGGAGCCAGAAGGCCGGGUUGGUGGAGCAGGUUCCUGGGGACCCGCCUCCCUCACCCAGCCCCCACCAGCCUUCCUGGGGACUCCACUCAAAGGGAGCACUGAGUGAGCUGGUGGGUCUGCCUCUCUCCCAGGAAACUGGGGCCACUCUACUGAGUCUUGGGAAUCUUGCCUCUCCUGCUCACUCCCCUCUCACUGGUCAUCCCCUUGCCCUGUGUGUGGGCUCCGAGGUCAAGACUAGAUAAGCCAGGGUGGACAGGAGUCUAGGACCCACAGAGCCAGCAGGACCAGCCAAACCAGACCAGAAAGGUGGGGCUGAGGUGACCGAUGGGGAAAGAGAAGGGCAGACACAUUUAUUCAUCCAUUUAUUCACUUGCUCGAGGAGCACUGACAGGUCCUUGGGAGUGCAGUGUGAGCAGGGGAGGUGCUCUGGCCUGAAGGCAGAUUCCCAUGCAGGUCAGGGUCAGGGCUUGGGGUUGGCAUUAGCUGCUGGCAAGGGCAUGGUCUUGGGAAGUGCCUGGACCUCGGAAGUGGGAUAGAAGGGCAAGGGCACCAUCCAUCCAUCCAUCCGUCCUUCUGUCCAUCCAUCCGUCUGGGGCCUCCUGUGUGCCAGGCCCAGGGCUGGGCACUCACAUCCACAGCCUCGUUCAUUCCCACGAGGUCCCAGCUCGGUGGGAAUGAUCACCCCCAUUUUAUCAACAACACUGCUGAGGCUCAGAGAUGUGAAUGACGACCUCCUGGCCCCCCUGAGGGGUAGCAUCCAACAAAACUCGCUGCAGGGGGGCAUGAAAAAGGAAGGGGCAUCUGCAUCGCUUUCCCCCUCUUUCAGAGCUGUGGAACUAUGAACAAAGCAUGUGUUCCUCACAGCAAAUCAGACGCUACAGGGACAUGAAGAGUAGCGGGCCAGCCUCCCCUUCCCGCAUCCGGCAGCAGGGCCACGGCUCUGCGCUGACACCCUCCUGAUACCUUCAGGCAACCUGGCCAGACCGGACACUCUGUGCUGGUGUGCGCUUCCUGCUGCAGAUGCCAACCCAACAGUGUCUCCAGGGCA